AUUGUGGCAUGCUUGCAAUUUAUUUUUUUAUAGUUUUUGUCAACUCUGGGUUAUUAUGCAUAAUAACCCAGAGUUACAUCAGUCCCUCUUCUUUUAGCCUUCUACAAAUGGUCCGGUCUAACACAACAAUUACAGCUUCAUGGGUAAGCUUAGUGGCUUUUUUUCUGUUUUACAGGCAGAUAUUUCUGAUUAUACUGUCCGCUCUUGGUGUUUUCUUGCGUUUAGAAGUUGGUCUCCUUGGAUCAAACUCUUUCCCUGUAUCGAUUCUUUUUCUUACUUGCAUUACGGUUUGGUAAAAAGCCUUUGCGGUUUGUGCAAUUUUUCAUUGAGAAUAAAUUGUAUUUUGGAAAAGACAUUUAAAACUUACUUUUAUUAUAAGUAGGAAACCAAUAUAUUCCUCCAGAAAGUUGAUCACCAGAUUGUCUUUCCAAAAUAACUAACAAAGAAUGACAAAUCACCAGGGGCUAGACACCCUUUUGCCUCCCUCAGGACAGCCCUGGGAAACAUGGGUGAAAUAAUUUUUAUUGCUUUAAAUAUUUUAGCUGCAAAUAUUACUGAUAGGGCAAUAGUGAAUACUGAAGUUUCCAUUUCUAAUGAUAGUAUUGAUGUUAAAACUGCUCCUGCCAUUUUACCAUCGACAUCAAUUAAUUUAUGAGAAAGGGCUCCUGUGAGUUUACCAUCAAUAUUAUUUAUUGUUUUACCUAAAUAAUACGAACUCAUUCCAAAGCCAGGUUAAGAAUAACAACUAAUAGAAAAAAACACAUAAUAGGUGUAAAAGAAAAUUGCAUAUUUUAACUGAUACACCUAAAAUAACAAAACAGAUUAUCUUUUAGUUUUUAAAUGAUGAAAGUUCUGAUGAAAUUUAUUUUGGAGUAAAUAUACUUACUUUAAGGAAAAUUUUUCUGAGUUUUUUAAUCAUUAAGUUGGCCGAAAUAGAUAAAGCUAGAUAGAGCCUAGAUAAAGCCUAGAGGCUUUAUUUAGCAGAAGUUAUAGAAGUUGUUGGUAUAGUUUACAAAAUUAAGUAUUAUAAGAAAUCAGGAGACAUUUGUAAUAAAUUUAUAUGAGACGAUGACGAUUUUACCAUUCUACAGAAUUUAAAUAUACAUUAUUUCUUCUAAGGCUUGUUUCUAAUAAUAAAAAUUAAUUUUUAGUUUAACAGGUGUUUCGUUUUUUUUAUAUUUAGUGUAUGACAGCAUGCAACCUUAAUCAAACUUUUAACCUGACAAAGUGUCUCAUAACUUGGAAAAAUUAUAAUUUGUGUGAACUUGGUUGUUUAUUCUACAGUCAUAUUAAAGAAAAUGACACUGGUUGUUGACCAACGGUUUAUAAUCAAAAUUUAAUAUGGCUGGCGGUAAAGGUAAAGAGAA